rnacentral:Y_RNA from 1 species
GGUUGGUCCGAAUCCAGUGGUGUUUACAACUAAUUGAUCACAACCAGUUACAGAUUCCUUUGUUCCUUCUCCACUCCCACUGGUCCACUUGACCAGCCUUAA